rnacentral:lncRNA from 1 species
AUGGCCAUUGGUUCAGGGAAGGUGUUUAAUGAGUCAUUGAGGCUGUAGGCUUUGAUGCAAAGUACACACAUUUGAGGAUAGGCCACUGAGUUUGAGUCCUAGCUUUGUCACUAACCAGCUGUAUAAAUUUGGUCAAAUGACUAACGGCCAUGAGUCUCUUUCUUUUCAGUUCCAAUAAUAAUGAUGACAACAACAAUAAUCAUAACGAAAAUUUGUUGAAGGGUUACAAUGCACCUGCAUCACUGGGAUGAUUGAAACUCGACACAGGUGCUGUGGGGACCAGAUGGGGUCAAUGUAUAGAGCACCUGCCAUGUACAAGAAGCUUAAACAUUGUUCUGAUCAUCUAAACUGAAAGGGACAUCUACUGUAUCAUCAAGAAUCCUGUGAAAAUUCUAACUUCAAGAGUGAACACUCAUGAGUAUCUAUUAUAUGCCAGGUACCAUGUUCUAAGU